rnacentral:rRNA from 1 species
UACGAAGGGGGCUAGCGUUGCUCGGAAUCACUGGGCGUAAAGGGUGCGUAGGCGGGUCUUUAAGUCAGGGGUGAAAUCCUGGAGCUCAACUCCAGAACUGCCUUUGAUACUGAGGAUCUUGAGUUCGGGAGAGGUGAGUGGAACUGCGAGUGUAGAGGUGAAAUUCGUAGAUAUUCGCAAGAACACCAGUGGCGAAGGCGGCUCACUGGCCCGAUACUGACGCUGAGGCACGAAAGCGUGGGGAGCAAACAGGAUA